rnacentral:rRNA from 1 species
CCUACGGGAGGCAGCAGUGAGGAAUAUUGGUCAAUGGCCGAGAGGCUGAACCAGCCAAGUCGCGUGAGGGAAGACGGCCCUACGGGUUGUAAACCUCUUUUGUCGGGGAGCAAAGCGAACCACGUGUGGUUCAUUGAGAGUACCCGACGAAAAAGCAUCGGCUAACCCCGUGCCAGCAGCCGCGGUAAUACGGAGGAUGCGUGCGUUAUCCGGAUUUAUUGGGUUUAAGGGGUGCGCAGGCGGAGGUGCAAGUCAGCGGUCAAAUUGCGGGGCUCAACCCCGUACUGCCGUUGAAACUGCAUCCCUUGAGUGCGCGAGAGGGAUGUGGAAUGCGAGGUGUAGCGGUGAAAUGCAUAGAUAUCACGCAGAACUCCGAUGGCGAAGGCAGCAUACCGGCGCGCAACUGACGCUCAUGCACGAAAGCGUGGGUAUCGAACAGGAUUAGAUACCCUUGUAGUC